UUUCCACCAGCUGCCAGUCCAGCGGGCCUGCCGCCUCCACCGCCCAGUCCUUGCUCAGGUGUCACUGUUGCUGGCAGGCCAGGAUUAGGAAAGGAGAAUGGGCAGGGGGUGGUGGCUGGGAGGAGAUGGGCUCUACCAUGCCACCCCCACCCUCACUUGGCUUCCUACCCUGGAAUCCGCAUACACCCCCGCGCCUCCUUGGCACCCGCGCCUUGGAGACUGGGUUAAGCUGCAGUGUUAGAAGCCUCUCUCCAUAUUCCAAGAAGAUGAAUGUAACAGAAGCAGAGUGGAAGGGAAGCGAGAUGGAAAGUGACUAAGAGGUCAUGAAAAUGCUAAGCCUCUCUCCAUAUUCUAAGAAGAUGAGUGUAAUGGAAGCAGAGUGGAGGAGAAGCCAAGUGGAAAAUGACUAAGAGGUCAUGAAACUGAGCAAAGCUUUUGGCAGUCUGUGGACCUUGGGAUGAAGAGGAAGAAACAUUAAAGCAAGGCUUGCUCCACGGUGAAGAGACCCUGGUAAAAUCUCUGGCUUUUAUUGAACGAGUACACUGGUAAAGGAGUACACUGGGGGAGUGAUUGCUCACCAGAAAUGGAAUAGAACUUAUAAAACUGGAACCCAGUAUUGUUUAAAUAAAAAUAAAAAUUAUCAUCAAUGGA